rnacentral:rRNA from 1 species
GUGGGGAAUUUUGGACAAUGGGCGCAAGCCUGAUCCAGCAAUGCCGCGUGCAGGAAGAAGGCCUUCGGGUUGUAAACUGCUUUUGUACGGAACGAAACGGUCCUGGUUAAUACCUGGGGCUAAUGACGGUACCGUAAGAAUAAGCACCGGCUAACUACGUGCCAGCAGCCGCGGUAAUACGUAGGGUGCGAGCGUUAAUCGGAAUUACUGGGCGUAAAGCGUGCGCAGGCGGUUUUGUAAGAUCGAUGUGAAAUCCCCGGGCUCAACCUGGGAACUGCAUUGGUGACUGCAAGGCUGGAGUGCGGCAGAGGGGGAUGGAAUUCCGCGUGUAGCAGUGAAAUGCGUAGAUAUGCGGAGGAACACCGAUGGCGAAGGCAAUCCCCUGGGCCUGCACUGACGCUCAUGCACGAAAGCGUGGGGAGCAAACAGGAUUAGAAACCCGUGUAGUCC